rnacentral:rRNA from 1 species
UUGGAGGGCAGUCUGGUGCAGCAGUCGCGGUAUUCCAGCUCCAUAGCGUAUAUUAAGUUGUUGCAGUUAAAAAGCUCGUAGUUGAAUUUCGGGAUCAAAUUGUCGGUCGUGCCUCGGUACGCACUGGUAUUAUUGGUUCCUACCUUCUGAAGAACCGCGAUGUCAUUAAUUUGGUGUCGUGGGGAAUCAGGACUGUUACUUUGAAAAAAUUAGAGUGUUUAAAGCAGGCUUACGCUUGAAUACAUUAGCAUGGAAUAAUGAAAUAGGACGUUUGAUUCUAUUUUGUUGGUUUCUAGGAUUGACGUAAUGAUUAAUAGGGAUAGUUGGGGGCAUUAGUAUUCAAUUGUCAGAGGUGAAAUUCUUGGAUUUAUUGAAGACUAACUACUGCGAAAGCAUUUGCCAAGGAUGUUUUCAUUAAUCAAGAACGAAAGUUAGGGGAUCGAAGACGAUCAGAUACCGUCGUAGUCUUAACCAUAAACUAUGCCGACUAGGGAUCGGAUGAUGUUAAUUUUUUAAUGACUCAUUCGGCGCCUUACGGGAAAC